rnacentral:lncRNA from 1 species
UCUUCUCGUUUCAGGAAGAACUCUCUCUUCCAUAAUGGCAUCACAAUCACAUAUUAUCCCAGUCACUAUUUCUCUCCAUUUCUCAUGAAAUAGGAGAAUAGCUGGAAGCUGACAGGGUCGAUACAUUGUUUAUAGUGGUGAGUUCGACAAUGCUCAAGGUUUUUACAUGUUUAAUAAGCUAACACCACUCAAGGUUUAAAGAUCAGAGGAAGUGGGGAUGGAUAGUCAGAGAGCGAGAAAUUGAAUAGGACGUUCGCCUGCACUAUGAUAAAUUUUUCUGACAACUUAUUACCUUACGCUGUCAAUAUUUGAUUAUUUUCUACAAAGUAAUAUGCAUCUUUAACUUUUAAAAAUUCAGUAUUUCCAUCUGUAUCAUUGACCAUACGGCUAAAAGGCAAUAUUCUCAUUCUAUAAUUAGUCUGGUCCAGAUUCAGUUGGGAUUUUUGUCAUCUCACAUAGUUACAGUGGAGUGGUAGCCCGAGCAUGUGGUCUUGCUAGUUUAGAACCAACAAAGGUAAACAUUUGUUAAUUUAGAAAUAUUACUGUUGCUCCGUUGCUAGUUUUGGUCCUUUUAUGAUUAAUGUAGAUGUUGUUACUUUUUUCUAACUAAAAUAUUUUACAGAUUGCUGAGAUCCUCAAAGAUCGAACUGCUUGGUUUCAGGACUGCUGAAACGUCUAAGUUUUCACAAUGUUUUUUGUAGGAAAUGGUGGUACAAUUGAGCUUUUAUAUACACAAGUGAGUACCUUCUCUUUAAUCUUUAUGUAGGCUUUUGAUUGGAUUAGCUUCAGUACUAAGGGGAUCAAUUAAAUCAUUUAUUUCGGAUAUAUGCUCCUACCACUCUGCCUCCUGCAUAUGAUUUUCGGACGCUCAGAUACACAGCCACCCUAGACAAUGGUAGCAUUGUGGUAAACAAUCCUUCACAUUAGUGUGAGCGACCUGGGCACUUUUAUACUUAGUUCUGAUAUUCCACAUUUAACUAGUCUUUAAACAUCUCAAUCCUUGGAUUGAAUAGGAGUCUAGAAUGUAAUAUGUUUGGGUCAUAUUUAACUAAAUGCUGCAUUAUAAUUUCCAUAUACACCUUUAAGGAUCUCGCUACUUCAGUAUGACACUUUGCUCUAUUGUUUGUGAUUCUUAGUAGUGAAUUCUAUUAGUUGUGCCAUCUCAUAUAUGUUGCUGAUAUUUUCUUUUAAUAAAUAAG